rnacentral:lncRNA from 1 species
GGCGGUCGGCUCCCGGACGGCUAGGCUGUCUUCUUCGUCGAGGGGCUCCGGCAGCUGGGCUAUCUUAUCCGGCGAGGGGCUCUGGCGGCUAGGGUUAGGGUUUGGGUAUAGAUGGGGUAAUUUAUACCCAUCCGCUUUUGAUCUGGACCGUCCAUCACUUUUAAUCUGAACCGUCUGAUCGCGAUUAAAUAGGGAGUGAAUCUGGGUCAUUCAUCGCGAUUCAAUU